CCUACGGGAGGCUGCAGUGAGGAAUAUUGGUCAAUGGGCGCGAGCCUGAACCAGCCAAGUCGCGUGAGGGAAGACGGUCCUAUGGAUUGUAAACCUCUUUUGUCGGGGAGCAAAAGACGCCACGCGUGGCGUUCCGAGAGUACCCUAUGAAAAAGCAUCGGCUAACUCCGUGCCAGCAGCCGCGGUAAUACGGAGGAUGCGAGCGUUAUCCGGAUUUAUGGGGUUUAAAGGGUGCGAAGGCGGAUGUUUAAGUCAGCGGUAAAAUUGAGAGGCUCAACCUCGUCGUGCCGUUGAAACUGGUUGUCUUGAGUGAGUGAGAGGUAUGCGGAAUGCGUGGUGUAGCGGUGAAAUGCAUAGAUAUCACGCAGAACUCCGAUUGCGAAGGCAGCAUACCGGCGCUCAACUGACGCUCAGGCACGAAAGUGUGGGUAUCGAACAGGAUUAGAUACCCGUGUAGUC
rnacentral:rRNA from 1 species